rnacentral:rRNA from 1 species
UUGAACGCUGGCGGCAUGCUUUACACCUGCAAGUCGAACGGUAACAGGCCUUCGGGUGCUGACGAGUGGCGAACGGGUGAGUAAUGCAUCGGAACGUACCCAGAGGUGGGGGAUAACGCAGCGAAAGCUGUGCUAAUACCGCAUGUGAUCUGAGGAUGAAAGCGGGGGACCGAGCAGCAAUGUUUGGCCUCGCGCCUUUGGAGCGGCCGAUGUCGGAUUAGCUAGUUGGUGGGGUAAAGGCCUACCAAGGCGACGAUCCGUAGCUGGUCUGAGAGGACGACCAGCCACACUGGGACUGAGACACGGCCCAGACUCCUACGGGAGGCAGCAGUGGGGAAUUUUGGACAAUGGGCGCAAGCCUGAUCCAGCAAUGCCGCGUGCGGGAAGAAGGCCUUCGGGUUGUAAACCGCUUUUGGCAGGAACGAAACGGUGUCCGCUAAUACCGGGCGCUAAUGACGGUACCCGCAGAAUAAGCACCGGCUAACUACGUG